ACAGCAGCCGCCGCGGUAAUACGAAGGGGGCUAGCGUUGUUCGGAAUUACUGGGCGUAAAGCGCACGUAGGCGGAUAUUUAAGACAGGGGUGAAAUCCCGCAGCUCAACUGCGGAACUGCCUUUGAUACUGGGUAUCUUGAGUAUGGAAGAGGUUAGUGGAAUUGCGAGUGUAGAGGUGAAAUUCGUAGAUAUUCGCAGGAACACCAGUGGCGAAGGCGGCUAACUGGUCCAUAACUGACGCUGAGGUGCGAAAGCUAGGGGAGCAAACAGGAUUAGAGACCCCGGUAGUCCCUGUCUCUUAUAC
rnacentral:rRNA from 1 species